AAGAAUUUGUACGGCGACACGGCUCUUCAUGUCACUGCCGCCGUGGGUAACAGCGAGGUGGCCAAGGAGCUGUUCGACACAAGAGAAGAUCUCAUCGGAGAACAGAACCUGAAGCAGGAGACACCACUUCACAAAGCGGCGUUCUACGGGCAUCAUGACAUGUUCUGGUGCCUGGUGGACGAGGGGAAGGGCUCCCCGCACGAGCGGAGGGAGGACGGCGCCACCAUGCUGCACUGCGCCAUCAUGGGCAACGAGCCGGGUUAGCCAUCAUCACUGGUUUGGUUGGUCUGGCUCAGGCCAGCUGGUUUUAUCUUGUUUCUAUCUUAUUUAUUUAAAGUGUUAUAUGUGGAUCAUACUGCUUCCGCAUCUUUGUUGUGAUGAAGGUGAGUAAGUUGACGCAGGGCUAGCACUGGAGAUUGCAGAGCGUUUUCCAUUGCUGAUCACGUCGAGGAAUACUAUGGCGGUAACCCCGUUGCAGCUGAUGGUGACCGUUCCGGGGUUAUUCCGAAGCCAAAUGGUACUGGGCUGCUUCGAGUCCAUCCUCUAUGGCUGUAAGUGCUGCCAGCCUCUUCCUUCAACUUCCCCAGCGCCUCCCCCUCCCACACCCCACCCCCACCACCCCCCUUGAUUUUUCGGAUUUAUUAUAUGGUUUUGUCUGAUUUGAUCUCUGUUCUUUAUUCUUUCACUUGUCUCCUGCUUCUUCCCUCAAUUCGCCCUUUUGUCGUCACCCUUUCGUCCCUGUUCUUUCUUCUUCGAGGAGGAGACGAGAAGGAGGAGGAGAGCAAGCGACACAAGGUUGACCAGUUCACUCAUCCAAACUGGCUUAGUGAAUCAUUUCAACAAAUUUGAAACGAAAUUAAUUAGAAUAGGAGGAUAAAAUAGAGGGGCGUGAUAGAAAUCAAUUACUAAUUAUUUUUUAGGUGAAUUACUUUUUGUAUAUAUAUAUAUAUAUAUAUAUAUAUAUAUAUAUAUAUAUAUAUAUAUAUAUAUAUAUUACAAUCCGAUCUAAAAAGAUAAUUGACUUAUUAACUUCAUUAAACUUGGACCAUUGAUCUGAAUAGUUAAGCUCAAAUUAAUAAUAAUACACUCAUCAAAUCCCUAUAAAUUAAUUUUAGAAUUUAUCUAUUUUUUUAUUUUCGAUGUGAAGUAAAAUUAUAAUUGUCCUAAGAAAAAUAUACUUACGAUGAAACUUAAACAUCAAGCGUUUUGAUACCAGCAGUGUACAUGCUCCUAAAAUUUUGAUCUUACAUUUCAGUUAUUCCUUUGGAGAAGGACUCACACAGGACACGUCAAAGAGAUGAAGAGGAGGCAAGUGGAAGCUCCAACGAUGCCGGUGUAUGUGAUUCAAAUCAUCAACAUCUUUUCCAUCACAAUAUCAAUAGUCCACUAUUGUCUCUCUCAUUUGUUUCUCACUUUGGCGUUUACAUAUAUAUAAUCUCAAGCAAGCUGAAGCCACAGAGCAAGAUGACCACGAAUAUUUCGGGAGGCAGAGAACAAUUCGUUCGAGAUUUCCAUCUUGCUGCUGUACUCUCGUUGACAGAUUAGUCAUCCCAGGCACUCCUACUAGCUUCUCUGUCUACAAUUUUUGUAGUCAUCCAUGUUCUGUUUCACUACGCUGAUGUUUUCCUUUUUGUCCUUGCAGUCAAAUGGGUUCAUCUGUUUCUUUUCAUCAUUUUAAAGACUUGUGAGUAAUUGUUCCCAAACAGUGCAUUGAUGAUAUUUAGAGUCAUGUCCUACUGUUUCAUUACGAGUUUUAGCAAAUUAGGAUAGUACUAUAGAAAAGGCUUCUUGUAAUUUAGUUCUCCAAAACCAAGUAGUUUACAUGAUGGAUAAUCAUAGCUAAUUUUCGGAAAAUCAUAAAUGGGAUGAUCAUGUCGCUGACUUCUUCUGAUGUUAAUUUGGAAAUGCAAUGCGUUAUGCAGUGUACCCUCGAACCCGACAUCUGGAGAAGAUUAAGAGAACCCAUAGAAAAGCCUUGGAACUCAUCGAAUUUUUAGCCCGCGACCCGAGAAACAUGGAGUUCUACGUGCUGGGAAGAAAACAAGGUGACGGCGGAGCUCCUGCGGCAGGCUUUCGAGAAAGAGGUGAGGGACAAGAUCAACUUAACACACCAGCUGCGUCUACCAGAAGAUGGAACGAGCCACCCUUGAUCUUGGGUGCACAAAUGGGCAUUCCCGAGUUCGUCAGUACCAUCUUACGAGUGUGUCCGGAGGCAGCUACCUACCUGGACACCCGUGGCCGAAGCGUUCUCCAAGUAGCAAUAGAGCAUGGUAACCGAGAGAUUGUGAGAACUAUACGUGAGAUGAUUCGGGGGAAGAAUCCCAUACUACCAUCCUGGCUACUGUCCCGCGUCGACAAAAGGACCGGAAGAACCAUCCUGCACUUGGCUUCGGCAACUGCCCCCGAGCAUAACCAAGAUGCUCUACAAAUGCAAGAUGAAUUAAGAUGGUUUGAGGUCAAGUCCCUGACUUCAUUAACUACAAAUAAAUCAUUAUAUUCUCAGAGUUGCCUGCUAAAUUUGAUCGUUUUCUGACAUUUGAAUGCAGACGGUGAGAGAUAUGGUUCCUAAGGAAUUAGUGUACAGUCGGAACGCGCAAGAGAUGACCGCAGAAGAGAUGUUUACUGAGAGUCACCGGGAGAUGCUCAAGAGUUGCAAGGGUCAACUAAUGGAAACGGGCAGGACGUGUUCAGGGCUUGUCGCUGCUGUAGUGUUCGCGUCGAGCUUCUCCAUCCCCGGCGAUAAGGACCCAGCGACCGGCAACCCGGUUUACUUCGGUAGGGCAGCUUUUACGGUCUUCUCACAUUUUUACGUGAUUGGGUUGUCAUGCGCCGCCACAUCUCUGGUGUUGUUCUUAUCCCUCGCCAUGUCACCGUACAAGGAGCAGCAGUUCCGUCGUAUCAUCCCAACCAAAUACUUCUUUGCCCGCUCGUCGUUUGCGAUGGCGAUGCUGUCUUUUCUGGUGGCGUUCACCUGCAACAUCUACCUACAGAUAUAUGGCUGGCAGAAGGCGAAGUCGAAGGACUUGAUUCCAUUCGUAUUGGAGCUCACCGUCUUCCCCGUCAUCUGUUCCCUGGUGUUGUUCUUUCGUGGCUCCGAUUUCGGUCUAUCUUUCCUUGUUCGUCUUUGGGGUUGAGUCAACAAGCAUGAUCGUCCACAUCUUUGGAAUCUGCAGCUUCAUGAUGCACGUGGGUUCUACCUAUUGCGGGUAUGCCACCUGUUCUAGUGGUGUGUGGUGGUGGUAGUCAUUGGACAGUUAAUAACUUGUGUGUACAAGCAGCGACAAAGGCUUGUGAUGUAUGGACGCUAGUUGAUUGCAACUUUAAUGUGUUCUUUUCUUCUAUCUUAAAUUAGAUGAUGAUAUAGGCGCAGCGGUAGACAACAGAUCCGAUCACCAAUAAUGGUGAUGUCCCUCUCUAUUGUUUUUGACGAAGUCAAUAUGACAUAACUGUUGACCGGAUCUUACCCUGUAUUGUCAUGUAAAUGUCACAUGUCGAGUGACAGAUUUCCCCUAUCGUAUGGACGUCCUUUGGUUUUCCCAGAGGUCGGCUAGAACAUAGGCUCGAGUCUUUUUGAAUAUUCUGUGACAAAUCACAUAGUCCAUAUCGUAAAGUUUUGGCCCACCAAAGUUUGCACAGGCAAACGAAAUGAUUGGCUUAUAGAAGCCAAUCAUUCAAUAAGUGAAGGACAUCAAUUUUGGAUUAAAAAAAUAUCAACAAAAUACAAAUCACCUUUAUAGAAAGGAAAGAAAACUCUCCGUGGAGAGCUUUAUUGCACUCCUUCCCAUCCAUCAUCUAUGGAGUCAAAUAAGAAAGAUUCAAGAGAAGAUAGGAAUGGUCCGAGUGAAGAAGACAAACUAACGAGCAGCAAUGCUCGUCUAUUCCAAAGACCUGCCACGAGAAUAAUACAGCGAGAAAAAAAGAAAGAAAAGGAAGAAGCUUAUUUAUGAGGUGCGAAAGGUGAUGGACAUCCGAUUCACGCCGUUGCAGCUGAUGGUUACCAUCCUCUUCCGAAGCCAACUUGUGCUCGGCUCCUUUGAUUCCUUGCUCGCCCUUUCCCAAUUACUUUUUACAUAAAAUUAAUAUAUUUUAUGUAAAAAUAUAUUAAAUUUUAUAAAAUAUAUUCUAAAUUAUUCAAAAUAUAUUAUUACACUCUCAUUCAAAGAACGUGUUAAAAAAAAUAUUUUUUUUUAUAAAAUUAUCCUAAAUUCAUCAUAAAACUAAUCAUAAAAUUCUACAUCUCUUAUUUUCUAUUUCUUAUAUUGACUUAGUUAUGUUCAAAAUUAAAAUAAAUUAAAUUCGAUUACCUAACCUAUUUUAAUAUUAAUAUUUUUUUUACUUUUAGAUAUAUCUAGAAUAAUUAAUUAUCAAAACUUUGAGAAUUCUACUAUAAUUUGAUUCUAACAAAAUUAUAAUAAAUUUAUAUAAAAAUUAAUAUAUCUUAGUAAAUUCGAGUGUAACUUGGAUGUAAGAGAUUUGGCUUAACUUGAUUCUACUGGAUUCGAAGGGAUCCGACCCAAAUCGAUCUAAUUCAGAUCGAAUCAACCUGCUAAUCAGUCAGGUUUAAAAUAGUCUAUUUCAAAAGUAUUAUCAAAAUUUUUAAAGAAAAUCACCUUUUGUAUGAGCUUUUAUCUUUAUACAUACAAAGUAUCCUAUUAAACAUGAGGUAUUACAAAAAAAAAAAAAAAAUCCCUCUCCAAAGACCUCCUGUCAUGUCAACUCUAGUAAAAUCCCUAUUAACUAGAGAAAGAAGUUCUUCGUUUAUACUAUAGUCGAGACUGCAACCGAUUCAUUGUUAUUUACUCAUUUUCUUUUGGUUCGUUUUCAUGUCAGUGUCAAGCUAUAUGAUAGGUAAACAAGUGUUUGGUACCCUGUCUCCGUUCCACCAUGCGCUGACGUUAUCAGAUUCCCUUUCGCUGAUCUAUAUAUCUUAUUGUCAGAAGACGUGAGACUGAAAGUGAUAUGUUGGAGGAAAGUAUUGAUUAUAUUUCUAUUUAUUAUUGGUUGACCGAUGGAGAUGGUUACUUUACUUGGGAUGUCAUGUUGAGGUAAUUAAAUCAUGCCAACGCAGAUUCGAAUAAUAAAAUUCCUUUAGCUUGUCAUUAAGCAAAAGACACCCACUCGAAGAUAACGUGAUUUGGAGCUACAAAUGAUAACACUGAGAGCAAAAGAUUCAAUAAAGAGAUGUUGCCAUAAUCCCGGGUGCAUAAAAAGAAUCGGAGACCAACCAAAGGGUCAUCAACUCCAAAGACUUGCGAUGAGUAUGAUCUACAAAACCUUUUCUAUAAGGUGCAAGUUGAAUGAUCGGUGGAGACCCACAAGUAGAGGUUUGGGUGCAAGCUUCCGGAUUAUUGUUUCCUGUAGAGCAAGAAUCGUUGACCCACAAGUUAAAGCUACUGUCUAGCUUUAACGUAUGUGAAUUAUUCAUUAGUAGGUUGGCCUCUGUAACAUACGAUUAAUUUGUUGUCGAAUCUUUUGUGACUGAGAUGAAAACGGAGACCAACCAAUGGGUUCUCAACUCCGAAGACUUGCGAUGAGUAUGACCUACAAAAACCAAGGGGGAAGGAGGUGUACGACGAUGGAUGAGAGCCAAAAGGAUCAGCUAGUCUGCUUGUUAAGGCAGGCAUUCAGGUUGCUUUAGUUUCGCAGUAGAAAUCUGGAGGCGAAGGCGUACGCACCAUAUAGCAACUGCAUGCUAUGGGGGAUCCCGCCGCUCUUGCCAAUACGGAUUCCAUUCACGACGGCACAGAGGAUGCUGAUCCACUGCAUGUUCUCAACAGGAGACAUUUUCUCACGGUGAAGUCUCAUUUCCGUCGGAAGAGGCACGAGGCACUCUUGGUUCUAGCCGUGGAAGAUCCUGGUCGCCCGGUGAACCUCAUGAACGACACUUUGCUCCACGUCGUCAUAGCUUGCAACAAGACCGACCUCGCCAGAAGUAUUAUCUUGCAGAUGCCAGUGGAGACCCUCGCGGCCAAGAAUUUGUACGGCGACACGGCUCUUCAUGUCGCUGCCGCCAUGGGUAACAGCGAGGUGGCCAGGGAGCUGUUCGGCAGGAACGAAGAUCUCAUCGAAGAACAGAACUUGAAGCAGGAGACACCACUGCACAAAGCGGCGUUCUACGGGCAUCAUGACAUGUUCUGGUGCCUGGUUAACGAGGGGAAUGGCUCCCCGUACGAGCGGAGGGAGGACGGCGCCACCAUGCUGCACUGUGCCAUCAUGGGCAACGAGCCGGGUAAGCGGUCAUCACCAGUUUCGUUGGCCAGCUGCCUUUAUCUUGUUUUUAUCCUAUUUAUUUGAAUUUUUAUAUGUGGAUCAUACUGCUUCCGCAUCUUUGGCGUGAUCAAGGUGAGUGAGUCGAUGCAGGGCUGGCACUGGAGAUUGCAGAGCGUUUUCCAUUGCUGAUCACGUCGAGGAAUACUAUGGCGGUAACCCCAUUGCAGCUGAUGGUGACCGUUCCGGGGUUAUUCCGAAGCCAAAUGGUAAUUGGCGGCUUCGAGUCCAUCCUCCAUGACUGUAAGUGCUGCCCCGCCUCUUCCUUCAACGCCCCCAGCGCCCCGCCCUCCCCCCUGCUUCUCUAUUUAUUGCACUACAUUUCCUACCAACGACUACCUUAAUUUAGCGAUCGUUCGACGUCCAAAUCUAUUGAGAAUUUACCAAGGGGUGUUUUUUUCUCAUUAUCGGAACACAUAUACCCUUGCUUAUUUGGAUUUAUUAUAUGGUUUUGUGUUAAACGCAUCAAAUCUAAUCGGUUGAGUCUGGUUUGCUCUCUGUUCUUUGUUCUUUCACGUCUCCUCCUCCUACCCUCAAUUCACCCUUUGUUUGUCACCCUUUCACCCUUAUUCUUUCUUCUUCAAGGAGGAGGAGCAGAGGAGGAGGAGGAGAGGAAGCGACACAAGGUUGACUGGUUCAUUGAACCGGUUCACUGAUCCAAACUGUUUCAGUGAAUCAUUUCAAAAAGUUCGAAAUGUAAUUAAAUUGGAAUAGGAGGAUAAAGUUAGAAUUUACCAAAAAAACAUUCCUAAAUAAUUUCUGAAUAUAUAUAUAUAUAUAUAUAUAUAUAUAUAUAAUAAUACNNNNNNNNNNNNNNNNNNNNUAUAUAUAUAUAUAUAUAUAUAUAUAUAUAUAUAAAAUCUGAUGUAACGGGAUAAUUGACUUAUUAACUUCACUAAACUUGGAUCAUUGAUCUGAAUAAUUAAGUUUAAAUUAAUAAUAAUACACUUAUCAAAUCUCUAUAAAUUAAUCUUAGUAUUUGUCUAGUUUUAAUUUUCGAUGUGAAGUAAAAUUAUAAUUGUUCUCAGAAAAAUAUAGUUAUGAUGACAAUUAAACAUCAAGUAUUUUGAUACCAACGUACAUGCUCCUAAAAGUUUGAUUUUAUAUUUCAGUAAUUCCUUUGGAGAAGGACUCACACAGGACACGUCAAAGAGAUGAAGAGGAGGCAUCUGAAAGCUCCAACGAUGCCGGUGUAUGUGCUUCAAAUCAUCAACAUCUUUUCCAUCACAAUAUCAAUAGUCCACUAUUGUCUCUCUGAUUUGUUUCUCACUUUGGCGUCUACAUAUAUAUAAUCUCAAGCAAGCUGAAGCCACAGAGCAAGAUGACCACGAAUAUUUCGGGAGGCAGAGAACAAUUCGUUCGAGAUUUCCAUCUUGCUGCUGUACUCUCGUUGACAAAUUAGUCAUCCCAGGCACUCCUACUAGCUUCUCUGUCUACAAUUUUUGUAGUCAUCCAUGUUCUGUUUCAUUACGCUGAUGUAUUCCUUUUUGUGCUUGCAGUCAAAUGGGUUCGUCUGUUUCUUUUCAUCAUUAUAAGGACUUGUGAGUAACUGUUCCCAAACAGUACAUUGAUGAUAUUAAGAGCCAUGUCCUACUGUUUCAUUACGAGUUCUAGCAAAUUAGGAAAGUACUAUAGAAAAGGCUUCUUGUAAUUUAGUUCUCCAAAACCAAGUAGUUUACAUGAUGGAUAAUUAUAGCUUAUUUGCGGAAAAACAUAAAUGGGACGAUUAUGUCGCUGACUUCUUCUGAUGUUAAUUUGGAGAUGCAAUGCGUUAUGCAGUGUACCCUCGAACCCGACAUCUGGAGAAGAUUAAGAGAACCCAUAGAAAAGCCUUGGAACUCAUCGAAUUUUUAGCCCGCGACCCGAGAAACAUGGAGUUCUACGUGCUGGGAAGAAAACAAGGUGACGGCGGUGCUCCUGCGGCAGACCUUCGAGAAAGAGGUGAGGGACAAGAUCAACUUACCGCACCGGCUGAGUCAUACAGAAGAUGGAACGAGCCACCCUUGAUCUUGGGUGCACAAAUGGGCAUUCCCGAGUUCGUCAGGACGAUCUUACAAGUGUGUCCGGAGGCAGCUACGUAUCUGGACACCCAAGGUCGAAGCGUUCUCCAAGUAGCAAUACGGCAUGGUAACCGAGAUAUUGUGAGAACUAUACGUGAGAUGACUCGAGGGAAGAAUCCCAUACUACCAUUCUGGCUACUGUCUCGCGUCGACAAAGGGACCGGAAGAACCAUCCUGCACUUGGCUUCGGCAACUGCCCCCGAGCAUAACCAAGAUGCUCUACAAAUGCAAGAUGAAUUAAGAUGGUUUGAGGUCAAGUCCCUAACUACAUUAACUACAAAUAAAAUCUUUACAUUCUCGGAGUUGCCUACUAAAUUUGAUCGUUUUCUGACAUUUUUAUGCAGACGGUGAGAGAUAUGGUUCCUAAGGAAUUAGUGUACAGUAGAAACGCGGAAGAGACGACCGCAGAAGAGAUGUUUACUGAGAGUCACAAAGAUUUGCUCAAGAGUUGCAAGGUUCAACUAAUGGAAACGGGCAGACUGUGUUCCGGGCUGGUCGCAGCUGUAGUGUUCGCGUCAAGCUUCUCAGUCCCCGGCGAUAAGGACCCAACCACCGGCAACCCGGUUUACUUCGGUAGGGCAGCUUUUACGGUCUUCUCACACACGUACGUGUUUGGGCUUUCAUGCGCCGCGACAUCUCUGGUGUUGUUCUUAUCCCUCGCCAUGUCACCUUACAAGGAACAGCAGUUCCGUCGUAUCAUCCCAAUCAAAUACUUCUUUGCCCGCUCGUCGUUUGGGUUGGCGAUGCUGUCUUUUCUGGUGGCGUUCACCUGCAACAUCUACCUACAGAUAUAUGGCUGGCAGAAGACGAAGUCGAAGGACUUGAUUCCAUUCAUAUUGGAGCUCACCGCCUUCCCUUUCAUCUGUUUCCUGGUGUUAUUCUUUUAUGGCUCCAAGUUCGGUCUAUCUUUUCUUUUUCAUUCUUGGCGUUGAGUCAACAAGCAUGAUCGUCCACACGAAUCUGGCAGGUUCAUGAUGUACGUGGGUUGUACCUAUUACGGUAUGUCGCCUGUUCCAGUGGUAUGCGGUGGUAGAAGUCAUUGGACAGUUAAAUAUCUUGUGUGUACAAGCAGCAACAAAGGCAUGUUAUAUGUGGCCGCUAUUUGAUUGUAACUUUAAUGUGGUCUUUUCUUCUAUCUUAAAUUAGAUAAUGAUAUAGGCGCCACGGUAGACAACAAAUCUGAUCACCAAUAAUGGUGAUGGCCCAUCAAUACUGAAUAAUGGUGAUGGCCCUGCCUAUUGUUUUUGGACUAAUGUCCAUAUGACAUAGCUGUUGAUGGGAUCUUAUCCUCUCACCGUUGACUGUAUUGUCAUGUAAGAUAUGCAUGGACGUCCUUUCGUUUUCCCAGAGAUCGGCUAGAAGAUAGGAUCGAGUCUUAUUGAAUCUUCUGUGACAAUCAAGUAGUCUUUAUCGUACAAUUUUGGCCCACCAAAGUUUGCACAGGCAAACGAAAUGAUUGGCUUAUAGAAGCCGAUCGUUCAAGAAGUGAAGGACGUCAAUUUUGGAUUGAAAAAAGAUCAUUUAGCUUUUCAAAAAAGAAAAAGAAUAACCUUUAUAAAAUGGAUAGAAAACUCUCCGUGGAGGCCUUUACACCGCUCCUUAGCAGCAUCCAUGGACUGGAGUCAAUAAGAAACAUUUAAGAAAAGAUAGAAACAGACGUAUCGUUGUCCAAAGAGUGAAGAAGACAAACUAACCACAAGCAAUGCUCGUCUAUUUUAAUGACCUGUCACAAGUCUAAUACAGCCACAAAACAUUAAAAAAAAGGAAGAAGCUUGUUUAUGAGGUGCCAAAGGUUAUGGACAUCUAUCUGAUUCACGCACGGAAUGGUCACCAUCCCCGAGCACCUCUUUCGAAGCCAAUUGUUUGGUCGGCACCUUUGAUUCCUUUCUCUGUAUCUGUCCAAGUGCUGCUCGCCCUUUCUCAAGUACUUUCUAAUCCUCUAUCCAUCUCUCCAUUUUUAUUUUUCUACUUUUACUGUUAUAAUAAGUUUUUUAAAUUAUUUUUAUUACAUUAAAUUACAUAUAAGACAUCCUUAUAUAAACAUAUCAUUAUAUUGCCACGACUAUAUAGACGCUUAUUCUAUAUACAAACUAGAAAUAGACAAAAGGAUACCAAUAAAAUAAAGAGACACCGCAAUAAGAAUCGGAUUUGGUAAAGUAUUUUCCUCAAACGAGCUUGGAGGAUCGGAUAAGAGUUUUGUAAAGAGACCACUGCUCCUGAAAUGAAAACCAAUCGUCGUGCUUUCAAUUAAUAAAACCAAUCAUGCAUACCGUUUUCUAAAGUGUUCAAUGAGGAGACAACAUAAGUAAUUGUCAGUUCACGCAUAUUACUUACCGUACGCAGAAGGAGGCGUAGGUACGUCGGUCGAUGGUCACUUGAUCUCCUUCCUGGCCAUCAUAUAAAGGGAGGCCUUCAGGUGCUCAUCUAAGACCACCAAGGGUACGUGAAGGUUGAAGACGUAGCCAUGGAUCCUUCGGGAAGCCAUUCGGCCCUCGCAACAGAUAACAGUGAUGACGAGAAUAGACGACCUAGCGUCUUCGACGUGGAUCACUUUUGCACCGUGACGUCUCUGAUUCAGCAGGAGAAGUACGAGGAUCUAUUACCCCUAGCCAUGAAGAAGGAUCCUCCACUCAACCUCAUGGAGGACCCUGUGCUCAACGUCGUCAUCGAAUACAAGAAGACCGACCUCGCCAAACGGCAGAUUCAAAACAUGCCCGCGGAGAAGAAGCCCGCGGAGAAGCCCGGACCGCUGUGGUACGCUAAUUACCACGGCGACACGGCUCUCCAUGUCGCGGCCACCGUGGGUGACCUCGACGUGGCCAAGGCGUUGGUCUGGAAGAACUCAGAACUCAGAACUCGUCAGUGCACGCAACUGGAAGAACGAGACACCGCUGCACAAAGCGGCGCUGUACGGGCACGAGACGAUGUUCUGGGACCUGGUGGAAAUGGGGUCGCACGCCCCGGACGAGCGGAGGGAGGACGGCGCCACCGUGCUGCACUGUGCCAUCAUGGGCAGCGCGCCGGGUGAGUUGUAAUCAAUUCCAGGAAGCCAUAGUCAUAUAUAGCUCCUUUCUUGUUUUCCAAAAAUAUGUUUACAUAGUUGAAUUGUAAUGUAGCUUUAGCACUGAAGAUUGCCAAGACAUAUCCACCGCUGAUCACGUCGCGGAAUGAUGAUGCGGUGACUCCGAUGCAGCUGACGGUGACAAUUCCAGGGUUAUUCCGAAGCCUAACGAAUCUUGGGCCCUUAGAGGCCGUAAUUUAUAAGCGUGAGUCGUAAUGUAAUUUCUAGGAUUUACAUCACCAUAAAACAUUCACAGCAUGUAGUUAUGGUAACUAAGGCUUUGUUACAUCAAAUAAAAGCACACCAAUAUGCAUGCUAGCUCUUGAAACUUCAUGGCUGUAUACUUUGAUUGCAAUGUUGCAGUGAUUCCAUACGAAGACUCCAGCGAGCCACGUGCAGUAGAUGAAGAGACAACCAGGGUCUCGAGCGCUGUUGAAGUAUGUGCUUCCGGAUGAAUCAUUUUGUUUUGCAUGAUGGCAUUGAUAUAGUUCAUGAGGUCGAUAGCAUCUUUUCUACUACUUGUCAAUAAUAUUUAUCACAAAAUUUAAGAGCAGUUUUUUCCUCAAACUAGACAAUAUAAAGUUUGAUCUACCAUGUGUUAGAAAUUUUUGUAAUAUCAGUCGAAGUCAUUCUGGUUAGGGUUAACGAAUUACCCUUUUAGGAUAUUUCUAUUCAUCUCACACAUAUGAAUAUGGGUUUUGAAAGUCUUUCACAUAUUCACAAAGGUUUAAACUUAAUACAUGUAACUCAAUUUUUAAGUCUUUCUCUUCUUUGAAGGGUUCAAACUUUGAGUUCAUAUAUUUUUUAACUUUACGAUACGGUUCACAUAUCUACAUCUAUCCAAUGGUACGACUCAUCUACAUUCAGUGGCUGGAAUAUUAUGUAAUUUUUUUUUAGAAACGAUAAGUUUGAGCCAUAUUCUAGUUAGGGUUAAUGUAUAUUAGGUCAUACGUCAUACAUCAAUUGAAUCUAGAAACUUUGAUUAUUAUAUUAUCAAUCAAAUUUAGUAUAUGUAACUAGACUCUUUCAAUUAUUAGUAACAUGAGACUAUCCUCUUAGAAUAUUUCUUUUCAUCUCAUAUAUGAUUUGUCCCUGCACGAGUAUUAUUUCCUUGUAUUGUCUCUGACGUUGGCGUCUACAUGUACUUAAUAAGGGAGGUGCAAAAUAUAUCAAGCGAAAGGUUGUGUCUCUUCUGCCCCCCAAAACGUUUCGUUCGAAAUUCCCAUCUCACUACAGCAGUCUCUUUGACCUGCGGGAAUUGAUGUUCAUCCCAGGUACUCACUCCUACGAGCUUCUCUAUUUACAUUUCUUACCUGGAUCUUAUUGUUGGAUCACAGUACUACACUGAUUCGUGCUUCUGUUGAUGCAGCCAGAUGGGUUCAUUUGUUGCUUUUCCGCAUUCUAAAGCAAUGUAAGUCAUUGUUCGUGGAUGGAUGCAUGAUGUUUAGACAUGUUGUCCUUUUCCAAUUAAUGUUAGUGGAAUUGCAAUGCAUCAUGCAGUGUUCCCUAUGAUCGAACGUCUGGAGAAGCAAAAGAAAACCCACAAGGAAACCUUGGAACUGAUCGAGUUCUUAGCCUAUUAUCCUAGGCACAUGGAGUUCUAUUCCAAGGGAAGACGAAAAGGCAAGGAGGAAAGUCUUCUUGUUGGAGACAUCACCAGUUCUACAACAAGACAGUCUCCUCCGUCAACAGACGCUGGUGAAGGCCAAGGAGUAAAUGGAGGAGGGAACCGAGAUCAAGACUUUGAUAGGUUUGCGGAAAAGCUAUUUAUGUAUAUGUCGCACAAGGAUGCCAAUCACGAAGCAGUAGCAAAAGAGCUCAAGAAGAGCAUGAAGGAGUCGAUGGAGGAAGUGUCCGGUGAAUCCACAAUUAGAAGAUGGGACGAGCCGCCCCUGAUCUUGGGUGCACAAAUGGGUCUUCCUGAGUUCGUCAGGACGAUCUUGCUAGUAUGUUCGCAGGCAGCAGCAUACCUGGACACCAAGGGGAGAAGCGUUCUCCAAGUCGCAGUCAUGUAUCGUCGCGAGGAGAUUGUCAAGAUCAUAAUGGACAUGAGAAACAUUUUACCAUCCUGGUUAUUUUCCGAAAUCGAACCCAAAACCGGGAACACCAUCGUGCAUCUUGCUUCACGUGGAAGCCCUGAUGUAGCAAAGGAAGCGCAAGACGAACCGGAUGCAAUGCAACUGCAUUACGAUUUAGUAUGGUUUGAGGUAAAGUUGCUAAACUUUUUUGCCCCCCUCCUCAAAUUUUGACAUGCUUCUCAAAAGUAUUAUCCGUUCAAUUCUUUGACAUGCAUUCUUCGGUGUCGGUUGUGGGUUAUUCGCGCAUAAUACAAAAUAACCAACAAAUACACAAAUAAAAUCUACGUAUUCUCAGAGUUGCGUACUAAAUUUGAUCGUUUUCUGACAUUUGAAUGCAGACGGUGAGAGAUAUGGUUCCUAAGGAAUUAGUGUACAGUCGGAACGCGCAAACGAAGACCGCAGAAGAGAUGUUUACUGAGAGUCACCGAGCGAUGCUAAAGAGUUACAAGGGUCAACUAAUGGAAACGGGCAGGACGUGUUCAGGGCUUGUCGCUGCUGUAGUGUUCGCGUCGAGCUUCUCCAUCCCCGGCGAUAAGGACCCAGCGACCGGCAACCCGGUUUACUUCGGUAGGCCAGCUUUUAAGGUCUUCUCACAUGCGUACGUGAUUGGGUUGUCAUGCGCCGCCACAUCUCUGGUGUUGUUCUUAUCCCUCGCUAUGUCACCUUACAACGAGCAGCAGUUCCAUCGUAUCAUCCCAACCAAAUACUUCUUUGCCCGCUCGUCGUUUGCGAUGGCGAUGCUGUCUUUUCUGGUGGCGUUCACCUGCAACAUCUACCUACAGAUGUAUGGCUGGCAGAAGGCGAAGUCGAAGGACUUGAUUCCAUUCGUAUUGGAGCUCACCGUCUUCCCCGUCAUCUGUUUCCUGGUGUUGUUCUUUCGUGGCUCCGAUUUCGUCUUUGGGGUUGAGUCAACAAGCAUGAUCGUCCACAUCGUUGGAAUCUGCAGCUUCAUGAUGCACGUGGGUUGUACCUAUUACGGUAUGCCACCUGUUCUAGUGGUGUGUGGUGGUGGUAGUCAUUGGACAGUUAAUAACUUGUGUGUACGGGCAGCGACAAAGGCAUGUGGUGUAUAGACAACAGAGCUGGUCACCAAUAAUGGUGAUGGGCCUCUCUAUUGUUUUUGACGAAGUCAAUAUGACACAACUGUUGACCGGAUCUCACCCUGUAUUGUAAUGUAUACUGUCACAUGUCGAGCGACAGAUUUCCCCUAUCGCAUGCAAAUUGCAGUGAGAUGUAUGGACGUCCUUUUGGUUUCCCAGAGGUCGGCUAGAAGAUAGGCUCGAGUUUUAUUGAAUCUUCUGUGACAAAUCACAUAGUCUAUAUCGUAAAGUUCUGGCCCGCCAAAGUUUGCACAGGCAAACGAAAUGAUUGGCUUAUAGAAGCCAAUCAUUCAAGAAGCGAAGGACAUCAAUUUUGGAUUAAAAAAAUAUCAACAAAAAAAAAAUUCACCUUUGUAGAAAGGAAAGAAAACCCUCCUUCGCAUCAUCUAUGGAGUCGAAUAAGAAAGAUUUAAGAAAAGAUAGAAAUGAUCCGAGUGAAGAAGACAAAUUAACGAGCAGCAAUGCUCGUCUAUUCCAAAGACCUGCCACGAGAAUAAUACAGCGAGAAAAAAUGAAAAGAAAAGAAAAGAAAGAAGCUUAUUUAUGAGGUGCGAAAGGUUAUGGACAUCCGAUUCACACUGUUGUAGCCGAUGGUUACUAUCCUCCUCCGAAGCCAACUUGUGCUCGGCUACUUUGAUUCCUUUCUCUAUGACUGUCUCAAGUGCCGCUCGUCCUUUUCCAAUUACUUUUUAUAUAAAAUUAAUAUAUUUUAUAUAACAAAAGAGUAAUUUAUAUAUAUAAAAAAAUUAUUCUAAAUUAUUCAAAAUAUAUUAUUACACUAUCAUUCAAAGAAUGUGUUGCAUAUUAAUUUUUUUUAUAUAUAAAGAAUCCUAUUAAACAUGAGGUAUUACAAAAAAAAAAUAGCUCUCUCCAACAACCUCCUGUCAUGUCAACUUCUAGUAAAAUCCCUUUUAGCUUGAGAAAAGAAGUUCUUCGUUAAUACUAUAAUUGAGACUGCCACCGCAAGUAAAACCAGUGUUUGGUACCCUGUCUCCGUUCCACCAUGCGCUGACGUUAUCAGAUUCCCUUUCGCUGAUCUAUACAUCUUAUUGUCAUAAGACGUGAGACUGAAAGUGAUAUGUUGGAGGAAACUAUUAAUUAUAUUUCUAUUUAUUAUUGGUUGACCGAUGGAGAUGAUUACUUUACUUGAGAUGUCAUGUUGAGGUAAUUAAAUCAUGCCAACGCAGAUUCGAAUAAUAAAAUUCUAUUAGCUUGUCAUUAAGCAAAAGACACCCACUCGAAGAUAACUUGAUUUGGAGCUACAAAUGAUAACACUGAGAGCAAAAGAUUCAAUAAAGAGAUGUUGCCAUAAUCCCGGGUGCAUAAAAAGAAUCGGAGACCAACCAAAGGGUCGUCAACUCCAAAGACUUGCGAUGAGUAUGAUCUACAAAAACUUUUCUAUAAGGUGCAAGUUGAAUGAUCGGUGGAGACCCACAAGUAGAGCUUUGGGUGCAGGCUUCCGGAUUAUUGUUUCCUGUAGAGCAAGAAUCGUUGACCCACAAGUUAAAGCUGCUGUCUAGCUUUAACGUAUGUGAAUUAUUCAUUAGUAGGUUGGCCUCUGUAACAUACGAUUAAUUUGUUGUCGAAUCUUUUGUGAAUGAGAUGGAGGGUGCUUAAUUUGUUAGUGAAAGAAAAGUCAAUAAUGAGAAAAAGGGCAGAGAAGAAAACGCAAGAUGAAAGCUCAUCUGGAGAGUUCUUCAUGGCAGUGCCACUUUAAGAGGGGAGAUAGGUUGGAAGGGGUCCAAAGGGGAUCUGUACUAAACUUGGAACGGUUUAGCUGGUUUGAGCAAAGAAUCCGACGCCAUUUUCCGACACUAAGCGACGCCAAUCGACUGAAAAGGAGGGAGGCGUACGACGAUGGAUGAGAGCCAAAAGGAUAAGCUAAUCUGCUUGUUAAGGCAGGCCUUCAGGUUUCUUUAGUUUCGCAGUAGAAAUCAGGAGGCGAAGGCGUACGAACGAGUUGUACGCACCAUAUAGCAACUGCACCAUAUAUAUUUUUGGUCGGUGAGAACGUAGCGAAAGGAGCGGCUCCCUUCGGUGUGUUUUGGAUAUGACGGCUCCUUCCACCACCCAAAAGCUGACGCCUGCUGCAGAUGUAGGCACCGGAUCAGGGAGAAAAGUAGAGAAACAGCCGUCUGUACCCGGGAAAUCGCAGCCUGCACACGGCGCAGGUGGUGGUGGAUCAGAGGAGCCACCGCAUGCCCUGGACGUGGCACGCUUCCGCCGGCUGAACUCGCUCAUCCACCGUGAGAACGUGGACGCGAACAAACUCCUGCGUCUAGUGGAGCAGGAUAACCACGUGAACCUCAUGAACGACCCCUUGCUCAGCGUCGUCAUCGCCUGCAAGAAGCCCAAGCUCGCCUGCAGCCUCAUCGACAAAAUAUCAUCAAAUGACAUUCUCAAGGCCAGCAACUUAAACGGCGACACGGCGCUUCACGUAGCUGCCGCCAUGGACGACAAAGAAGUGGCCUCGAAGCUGAUCGACAGGGUGCCAGAUCUCGUUCAUAUGCAGAACGUGAAACAGGAGAUACCGCUACAUAAGGCGGCGCUGUACGGGCUGCUGGACAUGUUCUGGCUGCUGGUGGAAAAUAACAGCUCACCGAAAGCCCGGAGGGAGGACGGCGCCACCAUGCUGCACUGUGCCAUCAUGGGCAACGCGCCGGGUAAGCGAUCAUCACCAGUUUUGUUGGUCUGGCGCUGGCCAGCUGUCUUUCUCUUGUUUUUAUCCUAUUUUUUUGAAGUGUUGUAUGUGGAUCAUACUGCUUCCGCAUCUUUGGUGUGAUCAAGGUGAGUGAGUCGACGCAGGGCUUGCACUGGAGAUUGCAAAGCGUUUUCCAUUGCUGAUCACAUCGCGGAAUACUAUGGCGGUAACCCCGUUGCAGCUGAUGGUGACCGUUCCGGGGUUAUUCCGAAGCCAAAUGGUAAUUGGCGGCUUCGAGUCCAUCCUCCAUGACUGUAAGUGCUGCCCCGCCUCUUCCUUCAACGCCCCCAGCGCCCCGCCCUCCCCCCUGCUUCUCUAUUUAUUGCACUACAUUUCCUACUAACGACUACCUUAAUUUAGCGAUCGUUCGACGUCCAAAUUUAUCGAGAAUUUACCAAGGGGUGUUUUGUUUCUCAUUAUCGGGACACAUAUACCCUUGAUUUUUUGGAUUUAUUAUAUGGUUUUGUGUUAAACCGAAUCAAAUCUAAUCGGUCGAAUCUGGUUUGCACUCUGUUCUUUUUUCUUUCACAUGUCUCCUCCUCCUUCCCUCGAUUCGCCCUUUUUGUUGUCACCCUUUCACCCUUAUUCUUUCUUCUUCAAGGAGGAGGAGGAGAGGAAGCGACACAAGGUUGACCGGUUCAUUGAACCGGUUCGCUCAUCGAAACUGUUUUUGUGAAUCAUUUCAAAAAGUUUGAAACGAAAUUAAUUGGAAUAGGAGGAUAAAGUUAGAAUUUACCAAAAAAAAAAACAUUCCUAAAUAAUUUCUGAAUAGAGGGGCGUGAUAGAAACCAAUUACUAAUAAUCUUUUAGGUGAAUUAUUAUUAUUAUUAUUAUUAUUAUUAUUAUUAUUAUUAUUAUUAUUAUUAUUAUUAUAUAUAAAUAUAAUAUGGUGUAACGGAAUUAUUGACUUAGUAACUUCACUGAACUUGGAUCGUUGAUCUGAAUAAUUAAGUUUAAAUUAAUAAUAAUACACUCAUCAAAUCUCUAUAAAUUAAUCUUAGAAUUUGUCUACUUUUAAUUUUCGAUGUGAAGUAAAAUUAUAAUUGUUCUCAGAAAAAUAUAGUUAUGAUGAAACUUAAACAUCAAGCAUUUUGAUACCAGUAGUGUACAUGCUCCUAAAAUUUUGAUUUUACAUUUCAGUUAUUCCUUUGGAGAAGGACUCAGACAGGACUCGUCGAAGAGAUGAAGAGGAGGCAAGUGGAAGCUCCAACGAUGCCGGUGUAUGUGAUUCAAAUCAUCAACAUCUUUUCCAUCACAAUAUCAAUAGUCCACUAUUGUCUCUCUGAUUUGUUUCUCUUUUUGGCGUCUACAUAUAUAUAAUCUCAAGCAAGCUGAGGGCACAGAACAAGAUGACCACGAAUAUUUCGGGAGGCAGAGAACAAUUCGUUCGAGAUUUCCAUCUUGCUGCUGUACUCUCGUUGACAUAUUAGUCAUCCCAGGCACUCCUACUAGCUUCUCUGUCUACAAUUUUUGUAGUCAUCCAUGUUCUGUUUCAUUACGCUGAUGUUUUCCUUUUUGUCCUUGCAGUCAAAUGGGUUCGUCUGUUUCUCUUCAUCAUUUUAAAGACCUGUGAGUAAUUGUUCCCAAACAGUACAUUGAUGAUAUUUAGAACCAUGUCCUACUGUUUCAUUACGAGUUUUAGCAAAUUAGGAAAGUACUAUAGAAAAGGCUUCUUGUAAUUUAGUUCUCCAAAACCAAGUAGUUUACAUGAUGGAUAAUUAUAGCUUAUUUGCGGAAAAACAUAGAUGGGAUGAUCAUGUCGCUGACUUCUUCUGAUGUUAAUUUGGAGAUGCAAUGCGUUUAAGAUUAAUUUAGUUCUUCUGAUGAUCAUGUCGGAAAAACAUAAAUGCAGUGUACCCUCGAACCCGACAUCUGGAGAAGAUUAAGAGAACCCAUAGAAAAGCCUUGGAACUCAUCGAAUUUUUAGCCCGCGAACCGAGAAACAUGGAGUUCUACGUGCUGGGAAGCAAACAAGGUGACGGCGGAGCUCCUGCGGCAGGCUUUCGAGAAAGUGGUGGGCGACAAGAUCAACUUAAUGCACCAGCUGCGUCUACCAGAAGAUGGAAUGAGCCACCCUUGAUCUUGGGUGCACAAAUGGGCAUUCCCGAGUUCGUCAGUACGAUCUUACGAGUGUGUCCGCAGGCAGCUACGUACCUGGACACCGGUGGCCGAAGCGUUCUCCAAGUAGCAAUAAAGCAUGGUAACCGAGAGAUUGUGAGAACUAUACGUGAGAUGACUCGGGGGAAUAAUCCCAUACUACCAUCCUGGCUACUGUCCCGUGUCGACAAAGGGACCGGAAGAACCAUCCUACACCUUGCGUCGGCAAAUGCCCCCAAGCAUACCCAAGAUGCUCUACAAAUGCAAGAUGAAUUAAGAUGGUUUGAGGUCAAGUCCCUAACUACAUUAACUACAAAUAAAAUCUUUACAUUCUCGGAGCUGCCUACUAAAUUUGAUCGUUUUCUGACAUUUGUAUGCAGAGGGUGAGAGAUAUGGUUCCUAAGGAAUUAGUGUACAGUCGAAACGCGCAAGAGAUGACCGCAGAAGAGAUGUUUACUCUGAGUCACCAAGCUUUGCUCAAGAAUUGCAAGGAUCAACUAAUGGAAACGGGCAGGCUGUGUUCAGGGCUGGUCGCAGCUGUAGUGUUCGCGUCGAGCUUCUCAGUCCCCGGCGAUAAGGACCCAGCCACCGGCAACCCGGUUUACUUCGGUAGGGCAGCUUUUACGGUCUUCUCACACACGUACGUGUUUGGGCUUUCAUGCGCCGCGACAUCUCUGGUGUUGUUCUUAUCCCUCGCCAUGUCACCUUACAAGGAACAGCAGUUCCGUCGUAUCAUCCCAAUCAAAUACUUCUUUGCCCGCUCGUCGUUUGGGUUGGCGAUGCUGUCUUUUCUGGUGGCGUUCACCUGCAACAUCUACCUGCAGUUAUAUGGCUGGCAGAAGACGAAGUCGAAGGACUUGAUUCCAUUCAUAUUGGAGCUCACCGCCUUCCCUUUCAUCUGUUUCCUGGUGUUAUUCUUUUAUGGCUCCAAGUUCUUUUAUGGCUCCAAGUUCGGUCUAUCUUUUCUUUUUCGUUCUUGGCGUUGAGUCAACAAGCAUGAUCGUCCACAUCCUUCGAAUCUGCAGCUUCAUGAUGUACGUGGGUUAUACCUAUUACGGUAUGCCGCCUGUUCCAGUGGUGUGUGGUGGUGGUAGUCAUUGGACAGUUAAUAACUUAUGUGUACAAGCAGCGACAAAGGCAUGUGAUGUAUGGACGCUAUUUGAUUGCAACUUUAAUGUGGUUUUUUAUCUUCUAUCUUCGAUUAGAUGAUGUCUGCGCAACGGUAGACAACAGAGCUGGUCACCAAUAAUGGUGAUGGCCCUCUCUAUUGUUUUUGACGAAGUCAAUAUGACACAACUGUUGACCGGAUCUCACCCUGUAUUGUAAUGUAUACUGUCACAUGUCGAGCGACAGAUUUCCCCUAUCGCAUGCAAAUUGCAGUGAGAUGUAUGGACGUCCUUUUGGUUUCCCAGAGGUCGGCUAGAAGAUAGGCUCGAGUUUUAUUGAAUCUUCUGUGACAAAUCACAUAGUCUAUAUCGUAAAGUUUUGGCCCGCCAAAGUUUGCACAGGCAAACGAAAUGUUUGGCUUAUAGAAGCCGAUUAUUCAAGAAGCGAAGGACAUCAAUUUUGGAUUAAAAAAAUAUCAACAAAAAAAAAUCACCUUUGUAGAAAGGAAAGAAAACCCUCCUUCGCAUCAUCUAUGUAGUCAAAUAGGAAAGAUUUAAGAAAAGAUAGAAAUGGUCCGAGUGAAGAAGACAAACUAACGAGCAACAAUGCUCGUCUAUUCCAAAGACAUGCCACGAGAAUAAUGCAGCAAGAAAAAAUGAAAAGAAAAGAAAAGAAAGAAGUUUAUUUAUGAGGUGCGAAAUGUUAUGGACAUCCGAUUCACACUGUUGCAGCUGAUGGUUACCAUCCUCUUCCGAAGCCAACUUGUGCUCGGCUCCUUUGAUUCCUUUCUAUAAAGGUUAUGGACAUCCGAUUCACUCGCGCCAUUGCUGCUCGUCCUUUCCCAAUUACUUUUUAUAUAAAAUUAUUAUAUUUUAUAUAAUAAUAUAGUAAUUUUUAUAAAAAAAGUAUUCUAAAUUAUUCUAAAUAUAUUAUUAUACUAUCAUUCAAAGAAUGUGUUGAAUAUUAAUUUUUUUUAUAAAUUUAUCCAAAAUUCAUCAUAAAACUAAUCAUAAAAUUCUACAUCUCUUAUUUUCUAUUUCCUAUAUUGACUUAGUUAUACUCAAAAUUAAAAUAAAUUAAAUUCGAUUACCUAACUUAUUUUAAUAUUAAUAUAUAUAUAUAUAUAUAUAUAUAUAUAUUACUUUUAGAUAUAUUUAGGAUAAUUAAUUAUCAGAACUUUGAGAAUUCUACUGUAAUUUGAUUCUAACCAAAAAAAUACUAGUUUUUUUAUUUUAUAAUAAGUUUAUAUAAAAUUAAUAUAUCUUACUAAAUUCGAGUGUAACUUAGAUUUGGCUCUACCCAACCCGACUCGAUCCGAAAGGAUGCGCCCCAAAUCAAUUUAAUUCAGAUCCAAUCAACCAGCUAAUUAGUUAGGUUUGAAAUAGUCUCGUAUUAUGAAAAUUUUUAAAUAAAAAUAUCCUGAGCUUUUAUAUAUAUAUAUAUAUAUAUAUAUAUAUAUAUAUAUAAAGAAUCCUAUUAAACAUGAGGUAUUACAAAAAAAAUCGCUCUCCAACAACCUCCUGUCAUGUCAACUCUAGUAAAAUCCCUUUUAGCUUGAGAAAAGAAGUUCUUCGUCAAUACUAUAAUUGAGACUGCAACCGAUUCUUUGUUUUUUACUCAUUUUCUUUUGGUUCGUUUUCAUGUCAGUGUCAAGCUACAUGAUAGUUAAACAAGUGUUUGGUACCUUGUCUCCGUUCCACCAUGCUCUGACGUUAUCAGAUUCCCUUUCUGUGAUCUAUGUAUCUUUUUGUCAUAAGACGUGAGACUGUCAGUGAUAUGUUGGAAGAAACUAUUAAUUAUAUUUCUAUUUAUUAUUGGUUGACCGAUGGAGAUGAUUACUUUACUUGGGAUGUCAUGUUGAGGUAAUUAAAUCAUGCCAACGCAGAUUCGAAUAAUAAAAUUCUUUUAGCUUGUCAUUAAGCAAAAGACACCCACUCGAAGAUAACGUGAUUUGGAGCUACAAAUGAUAACAUCGAGAGCAAAAGAUUCAAUAAAGAGAUGUUGCCAUAAUCCCGGGUGCAUAAAAAGAAUCGGAGACCAACCAAAGGGUCGUCAACUCCAAAGACUUGCGAUGAACAUGAUCUACAAAACCUUUUCUAUAAGGUGCAAGUGGAGGUUUGGGUGCAAGCUUCCGGAUUAUUGUUUCCUGUAGAGCAAGAAUCGUUGACCCUCGCAUGGCCAUCCACGUUUAUGGCAUGUAGGUGCUGUCUAGCUUUAACGUAUGUGAAUUAUUCAUUAGUAGGUUGGCCUCACUAACGUACGAUUAAUUUGUUGUCGAAUCUUUUGUGAGUGAGAUGGAGAGUGCUUAAUUUGUUGUGAAAGAAAAAACAAUAAUGAGAAAACUAGCACAGAAGAAAACGCAAGUUGAAAGCUCAUCUGGAGAGUUCUUCAUGGCAGUGCCACUUUAAGAGGGGAUAUGAGUUGGAAGGGGUCCAAAGGGGAUCUGUACUAAACUUGGAACUGUUUAGCUGGUUUGAGCAAAGAAUCCGACGCCAUUUUCCGACUCUAAGCGACGCCAAUCGACUGAGAAGGAGGGAGGCGUACGACGAUGGAUGAGAGCCAAAAGGAUCAGCUAAUCUUGUUGUUAAGGCAGUCCUUUCAGGUUGCUUUAAUUUUGGUGUAGGCAUCUGGCGGCGAAGGCGUACUUACCAUAUAGCAACUGCAUGCUAUGGGGGAUCCCGCCGCUCUUGCCAAUACGGAUUCCAUUCACGACGGCACAGAGGAUGCUGAUCCACUGCAUGUGCUCAACAGGAGACAUUUUCUCGCGGUGAAGUCUCAUUUCCGUCAGAGGAAGCACGAGGCACUCUUGGCUCUAGCCGUGGAAGAUCCUGGUCGCCCGGUGAACCUCAUGAACGACACUUUGCUCCACGUCGUCAUAGCUUGCAACAAGACCGACCUCGCCAAAAGUAUUAUCUUGCAGAUGCCAGUGGAGACCCUCGCGGCCAAGAAUUUGUACGGCGACACGGCUCUUCAUGUCGCUGCCGCCGUGGGUAACAGCGAGGUGGCCAGGGAGCUGUUCGGCAAGAGAGAAGAUCUCAUCGGAGAACAGAACUUGAAGCAGGAGACACCACUGCACAAAGCGGCGUUCUACGGGCAUCAUGACAUGUUCUGGUGCCUGGUGGACGAGGGGAAUGGCUCCCCGUACGAGCGGAGGGAGGACGGCGCC
rnacentral:lncRNA from 1 species